rnacentral:rRNA from 1 species
UAAAAAGCUCGUAGUUGGAUUUUGGGCGCAGGCGGCCGGUCCGUCGCAAGGCGUGUACUGGCCGUCCUGGCCUCACCUCCGGUUCUCCGCCGGUGCCCUUGACUGAGUGUCGGCGGCGGCCGGAACGUUUACUUUGAAAAAAUUAGAGUGUUCAAAGCAGGCGAUUCGCCUGAAUAAUGGUGCAUGGAAUAAUGGAAUAGGACCUCGGUUCUAUUUUGUUGGUUUUCGGAGCGCGAGGUAAUGAUUAAGAGGGACAGACGGGGGCAUUCGUACUGUGCCGUUAGAGGUGAAAUUCUUGGAUCGGCGCAAGACGAACGACUGCGAAAGCAUUUGCCAAGAAUGUUUUCUUUAAUCAAGAGCGAAAGUCAGAGGUUCGAAGACGAUCAGAUACCGUCCUAGUUCUGACUAUAAACGAUGCCAACUAGCGAUCGGGGGGCGUUAGUUUUACGACCUCUCCGGCAGCUUGCGGGAAACCAAAGUCUUUGGGUUCCGGGGGAAGUAUGGUUGCAAAGCUGAAACUUAAAGGAAUUGACGGAAGGGCACCACCAGGAGUGGAGCCUGCGGCUUAAUUUGACUCAACACGGGAAAUCUCACCCGGCCCGGACACAGUGAGGAUUGACAGAUUGAGAGCUCUUUCUUGAUUCUGUGGGUGGUGGUGCAUGGCCGUUCUUAGUUGGUGGAGCGAUUUGUCUGGUUAAUUCCGAUAACGAACGAGACUCUGGCUUGCUAACUAGUUACGCGACCCAAUCGGUCGGCGUCUAACUUCUUAGAGGGACUAGUGGCGUUUAGCCACACGAGAUUGAGCAAUAACAGGUCUGUGAUGCCCUUAGAUGUUCGGGGCCGCACGCGCGCUACACUGACCGGAUCAGCAUGUGCUCGCCUUGGCCGACAGGUCUGGGUAACCCGCUGAACCCCGGUCGUGCUAGGGAUAGGGAAUUGCAAUUAUUUCCCUUGAACG